rnacentral:rRNA from 1 species
UACGUAGGGUGCAAGCGUUAAUCGGAAUUACUGGGCGUAAAGCGUGCGCAGGCGGCUUUGCAAGACAGAUGUGAAAUCCCCGGGCUCAACCUGGGAGCUGCAUUUGUGACUGCAUGGCUAGAGUAUGGUAGAGGGGGAUGGAAUUCCUGGUGUAGCGGUGAAAUGCGCAGAUAUCAGGAAGAACACCCGUGGCGAAGGCGGCUCUCUGGGACGGUACUGACGCUGAGACGCGAAAGCGUGGGGAGCGAACAGG